GACGAACGGUGCGAGCGUUGUUCGGAAUCACUGGGCGUAAAGGGCGCGUAGGCGGACUCUUAAGUCGGUGGUGAAAUCCUGGAGCUCAACUCCAGAACUGCCUUCGAUACUGAGAGUCUCGAGUCCGAGAGAGGUGAGUGGAACUGCGAGUGUAGAGGUGAAAUUCGUAGAUAUUCGCAAGAACACCAGUGGCGAAGGCGGCUCACUGGCUCGGUACUGACGCUGAGGUGCGAAAGCGUGGGGAGCAAACAGG
rnacentral:rRNA from 1 species